AACGAACGCUGGCGGCAUGCCUAACACAUGCAAGUCGAACGAAGCCUUCGGGCUUAGUGGCGCACGGGUGCGUAACGCGUGGGAAUCUGCCCUUGGGUUCGGAAUAACAGUUAGAAAUGACUGCUAAUACCGAAUGAUGUCUUCGGACCAAAGAUUUAUCGCCCAAGGAUGAGCCCGCGUCGGAUUAGCUAGUUGGUGAGGUAAAGGCUCACCAAGGCGACGAUCCGUAGCUGGUCUGAGAGGAUGAUCAGCCACACUGGGACUGAGACACGGCCCAGACUCCUACGGGAGGCAGCAGUGGGGAAUAUUGGACAAUGGGCGAAAGCCUGAUCCAGCAAUGCCGCGUGAGUGAUGAAGGCCUUGGGGUUGUAAAGCUCUUUUACCCGGGAUGAUAAUGACAGUACCGGGAGAAUAAGCCCCCGGCUAACUCCGUGCCAGCAGCCGCGGUAAU
rnacentral:rRNA from 1 species